UGUAGGAUUCUAGAAUGAAAUACACUUAUUCAUGUUACGAUACUAGAAUUGAUUGAUUACUUUACAUUUAAUGAAUGUAUAUAUUAAGAACUGGAUAAGAACUAGGUGUACGGAAAGUUACUGAGUGAGACAAGGGGGGAAGCAGGAAGUUUAUAUUCUGUCAAACAUGUUAUUGUUAAAUCUCAUGGAUCCUAUGGAGAGAGGCAAAGGGCAAAAGUCUGGAUUCAGCCACUGAUAAGAACUGCUCCCUCAGAAGACAGACCGCCCAUCCUUCAGUCAUUUAUAUUCUGCAGACAACCAUCUCCUCAGACGGAAAGUCCUUCUGUUUUUUUUGUUGUUGUCAGGAAAUCUAAUAUGUCAGAGUCUCAGCCAAGAUCAUCGAUCUCCUCCAAUACCUCUAAUGCUCACAUUGAUAAAAACACUGAACAUUAAAACACAAAGACCAGAUCAUCUGAUGACAGACAGACACACACCAGCGUCGUUGCUCACGGAGCCGUGUCCAUUCUUCGCGUCUACGACCCACAGAGCCUCUUUCCCCUCGGGUCCAUCUGUCA